GACGAACGCUGGCGGCGUGCUUAACACAUGCAAGUCGAACGAUGAAGCCGGAGCUUGCUCUGGUGAAUUAGUGGCGAACGGGUGAGUAACACGUGAGUAACCUGCCCUUGACUCUGGGAUAACUGCGGGAAGCUGUAGCUAAUACCGGAUACGACCCUCGGAGGCAUCUCCUGGGGGUGGAAAGAAUUUCGGUCAAGGAUGGACUCGCGGCCUAUCAGCUAGUUGGUGAGGUAAAGGCUCACCAAGGCCACGACGGGUAGCCGGCCUGAGAGGGUGACCGGCCACGCUGGGACUGAGACACGGCCCAGACUCCUACGGGAGGCAGCAGUGGGGAAUAUUGCACAAUGGGCGCAAGCCUGAUGCAGCAACGCCGCGUGAGGGAUGACGGCCUUCGGGUUGUAAACCUCUUUUAGCAGGGAAGAAGCGAAAGUGACGGUACCUGCAGAAAAAGCACCGGCUAACUACGUGCCAGCAGCCGCAGUAA
rnacentral:rRNA from 1 species